GUAAGGUUCAGUAGAAAGUGAACAGUUACAACAAGAACUACAAUUUUCCUCCAAUUGUUUAUUCGUCUUUAUUAUUUUACUAGCACUAGUACAAGGCAGUGCCCAACGUUUUUAGACGGAACGACGAACGGAAAACUUUGUUUUAACAAUAUCAAUUAUAACUCCCUAACGAAUCGUCGGUGUUAUAGUCUCUUUUUCAUGUGCACACUCAAACGUUGUUACUCAAUACAUAUAUUCUCUACUCAAGGAUAAUAAAAACAGAUUGCUUUUAAAUAUGAUUUGAUGUGGCAGGGAGUACUUUAGCUCGUUGCUAAACCAGAUGUCCAUGGACAUUCUGUUGUGAAACCUCAAGAUUUCAUGUAUGGACCCUCAUGGAGUUGAGGGGAUUGGCCUGGGCUGUUUUCUUUAACUCAUAUCGGUCCAGUUUGGCCUUUCCACCUUCUUCCUCUGCAACGUUUCGGACUUGCUGACGCCGUAUACAGUGUUCUUGGAGACGUCGAACUGCUUCGAGUGCGCGAAUAGAAAAUCGUCGAUCACGUUCAAGUGUCAUUUUUCUACUUGUACGUAAGCUAGAGAGCUCAAAUUUAUGCUGUUUUGUGAAUAAUUGUUUAUGCUUUAUUAUAUGGAAAUUUGAAUUGAUUUCAAUAGCUCAAACUUGAUUAAUUAUUGAAUAAUAUAACUCCCACGCUUGAUUGCAUUUUAUUUCUUAGGUGAAAUAUCCACACUAAAAAUGGAUAGAUAUACUUUGUUUUAUUAAGAUAGAAGAUAUAAUUACACUUCUGUUUUAGCUAGAGCAGUGCCUUGAAGAGCUUUUUAAGAGAGAAUUUAUCCAAUCUAAAAUAAUGACCAAUGAUGUAUAAUAUAAAUAUUAUUAUAUAUAUUAAUUAAAUUAAAUACAUUGAAAUUUAAUAGCAUCAUAAAAGGUCUAGUUAUUGUUUCAUAGAACAACAUUAAUUAGUCUUUUUCUACCACAAAGUUGACAUUUUUAACUGUUCUAACUAUCCCUGGAUACGGAGAUACUUACAAAAUUUGACAUUCACAUUCAAAUGCAACUGGUGAGAAACUAUUCACUGGUAUAAAUAUAUUUAAACAAUAGCGAACAAAUGUAAAUAUGUGUGUUAAAACUUAGCACGUCAAAGUCAAACCAACUCGAAGUAAUUGAGCCAAAAACCAAAAGUGGUGGAAUUGUCCUGUAUCUUUCUAUUCUUCAUUUGAAAAUAUUCAUCACUUAUACAAUUUGAUAAGUUUUUUUAAAUUAUCAUUAUUUAAUUUACUUUAUGAAGUUGAGUCUCCAUAACACUUUUCAAGC
rnacentral:lncRNA from 1 species